UGUCUCCCAAAAGAUGAAUUGAUGAAAGACAUAAUGUUUUUUUGAACUUAUUGAGAAGGUAUGUAGCCAACUGGGAGAGAAUUUGAGGCUAAAUUAAUAAUGAUGUGAAAACCUAAGCAAACAAACAAAUAAGAUGAUCGUUAUUUGGGGGGAAACUUCAAGUUGGGACAGAAAUCAAAAAAUAAUCUCAGAACUCCUUUGUACUGCAUGGCUCGGCAGUGAAUGGCAUGUAUCUCGUCAAGACAAUGUGACCACUAAACGUUGAUGGAACCAAAAUCAUGAUGGAAUUACACUGAGAAGAGGCCUCUAUUCCCCUCACUCUCUCCCUGGUUCUUUUUUUUCUGAGUGUACCCUCUAUCCCUGGUCAGACCUAGGGCAAGGGAAUCGGCCCGGUCUCCAGUCCAGCCCUGGGAGAAGCCAGCACGAGAUGUGACUCCUUCAUACACCAACCCUGGGUGAAGCCUGCCGCCCCUCAGCAGCCUCCCCUGUCUCUAGAAGCCGGCUCACCUCUUCAGCAAACCCAUGACAAUGAGGCUAGCCACCACAUUUACGAACCCACUGUGUGCUGGGUAUUGUGUCUUUUCCAGCUCCAGAGUCUACUUCCUUUUUCAUCUAAGGAAACACGUAUCAGAUCUGGGACAUAGGACAGCUUGGAUGUAAUGGCAGCCGGAUGGUACCGUGAAAGCAAAAAAAUAAAAGUCAAGAUAGAAACUAUUAUCCCAGAAUGGCAUGCUGAAGAGGCACUGGCAACGAUAAGGACACAGCUCUUCUGCCAGGACCAAAUUUCCAACUACCGCUGCAGGAUCUGCUGGGCUUCGUUGGAAACAAAUAAACAAACAUAAGCCAACUCGCCCUCAUUUGUUUCCAUCAGCUCAAUAAAAUCGGCUGCCUCCUACUUGAGAGUCAGAAAAUGCUUUCUUGCCUA